GAUGAACGCUGGCGGCGUGCCUAAUACAUGCAAGUCGUGCGGCAGCGAGCCCUUCGGGGUGUCGGCGAGCGGCGGACGGCUGAGUAACACGUAGGAACAUACCCCAAAGUGAGGGAUAACUGCUCGAAAGAGUAGCCAAUACCGAAUGUGGUCUAAGGAUUAAAGCUUCGGCGCUUUGGGAAUGGCCUGCGUUCGAUUAGCUAGAUGGUGAGGUAAAGGCUCACCAUGGCGACGAUCGAUAGCUGGUCUGAGAGGAUGAUCAGCCAGACUGGGACUGAGACACGGCCCAGACUCCUACGGGAGGCAGCAGUAGGGAAUUUUCCACAAUGGGCGAAAGCCUGAUGGAGCAACGCCGCGUGCAGGAUGAAUGCCUUAGGGUUGUAAACUGCUUUUAUACGUGACGAUUAUGACGGUAGCAUAUGAAUAAGGAUCGGCUAACUCCGUGCCAGCCGCCGCGGUAA
rnacentral:rRNA from 1 species